UAAGAGAUGAAAACUAAAUUAACUGAAGAAAACUGUGAGGAAUAAUACAAAAUUUGAGGAAAAUCAAUACAGUGCAGCCUUGUAUGAAGAUGACAAAAGACCAGACUAUAAUGGAGAUACAGUAUGAGAGUGGACUCUUUUGACUUGGGCCAGUAAAAAGCAACACCUUGGAGACUAGCCACAAAAUGCAUAGUGGUGCACAAAUCACCAUCACCCACUUUCAUCAAAUGGAAAACAGCAGCGUGAACAUUCAUCAGAACGUCUCCUUUUGAGCUCAUAUGUAUUUGGAACGAC